rnacentral:lncRNA from 1 species
CUCAUGUAGGCCGCACUGACAUGACAUUUACAUUUACAUUUACAGCAUUUAUCACACGCUCUUAUCCAGAGCGACUUACAAUCAGUAGUUACAGGGACAGUCCCCCUGGAGCAACUUAGGGUUAAGUGUAUUGCUCAGGGACACAAUGGUAGUAAGUGGGAUUUGAACCUGGGUCUUCUGGUUCAUAGGCGAGUGUGUUACCCACUAGGCCACUACCACCCCAGCAUGUUGAUUAUCAGGUGACGGAGGACGUUUCGGUGACGCUGAGGAGCCCCGCCUCUGCCUGUCUGCUGUUCAGGGCUCAGGAGGAGAAGGUCCGACUCCCGCUGCCUCUCCAGAGCACAGCGGCACACACCCUGAGUGGACAACAGAAGUCAGAUGACAAGAACCUUGGUGAAUGUCCAGAGGACACGUCUCAGGUUCACAGAAGGGGUCGUCCGUGGCUGGAGCUGGCAAGGCUGCAGAAGAGAGCCAGGGACAUUGUGGAACACUGGCGGGGACACUACCUUGUUGCCACUGGAGUCUGCAAGCCAGAUGGCCACUGGAUGGAAAAACGCCCAACACAGUUGAAGGUGAAGCCAGAUGUCCAGUCAGCUGCAGUGUCGAUCCUGAAUCCUGCAGACACAAGCCCGGGUCACCUUGAGGACAUCAAGGACGCCCCAAACAUCAUGACUGGAGACCUACCUGCUCCCAUCAGCCAUGUGCAGAAGUUGUCUCCUAAAAGGCCUCGGUAAAGACGGAGGGAAAGUAGCCAGAUUUCUAAGCUCCUCCCCUUCUAUUUUCCCAGUUCUGUACUGUUAGAAUCCAGCGAUAAAGAGC